rnacentral:sRNA from 1 species
CGUAGUCAUAACAAGCGGCUGCGCCCGCAAG